UACGUAGGGAGCAAGCGUUAUCCGGAUUUACUGGGUGUAAAGGGCGCGCAGGCGGACUGGCAAGUCAGAAGUGAAAUCUGAGGGCUCAACCCUCAAACUGCUUUUGAAACUACUGGUCUUGAGUGAUGGAGAGGCAGGCGGAAUUCCCAGUGUAGCGGUGAUAUGCGUAGAUAUUGGGAGGAACACCAGUGGCGAAGGCGGCCUGCUGGACAUUAACUGACGCUGAGGCGCGAAAGCGUGGGGAGCAAACAGG
rnacentral:rRNA from 1 species